rnacentral:lncRNA from 1 species
AUGUCCUUUUCUCUCAACAACAUACCGACUCACACUUUGUUAAGAUAUCUGAAGGACACUGUAUUCAACAUUCUGAAAUUUCAGCCAAUGCUUAAGUUUCAUUGAAGCAUAUAGCAGGUAAGU